UUUUGUUUUGUUAUUGUUUUGUUUUUUGAGUCAGGGUCUCAUAUAGCUCAGGCUAGCCUUGAAUUAGAUAUGUAGCUGAGGAUGUCCUUGUACUUCUGACCCUUUUGCAUUCACCUCCCUAGCGUUGCAGUUAUGGGCAUCUGCUACCACAGUGGGUUCACAUAGGUUGAUGUCAUUAUGCAGGUGAAGGCAAGUGCAGGAUAGAACAAGGCCUGCCAUUGGACAAGAAGGAAGGAUGGGCGGGAGAAAAGUUUUAGAGAGGCAGAGGAAGCCUGAGCGAGGAGGAGGCAGCAAGAGAACAUGGCGGCAGAUGUUAAGAUUUCUCUCUGCGCAUCUACAGGAGUCAUUGGCCUGCCCUGUGAGCUGUCCAUGGUGCUGAUCCUGCACUCCAGCGCCUCCUGCCUAGGGCCCCACACUCAAUCCCUAGGCUCUGUCUCUGUACUGGCAUGUGAAAAGGACCAGCCUUCCCGUGGGAUCAGUGCUCCACAGCGUCUGCUGAAGCCGAAGUAGAAUGCUUGCUUCUCCAUCUUCUCCUUCCACCCUCCCUCUCAGGAACCACCUGACCACUCUAAUAAAAAUCCAGCUUUAUGUAAAUACCCUGUUCUCCAAGUAAUAAAUGCCAUUAGCUAAGCCAGUCUGAGCAACCGCAGGCUUUUAAACAUCCAUUUGAAGAACUCUGAAAGCUCUCUCGAGGCUCUUGCCUGUAAUUCACUAAGGGGGAGUUGGUAAUAACUGUGUUAACUGGCCAGGCCCGGCAAUUCACAGGAGGUGUGUCUGUUUGCAUGUUGUGUUGGUGGAGGGGGCGUUCGGGGAGAAGAUGCCUCCUUUCAUGCUGAUCGGUUACUUAGUUUUAAGAGUCCCCCUGGGGGCUCACAGUCCUUUGAUGAGCCACUAAUGAAAGAGCAGAUCUGACAAUUAAUUUCCCCGGAGUUAUUAUUUGUUGUUUUGGCAACAAUUCUCUGAAAAGCCUUAAUAUUCACCUGGCCUCCCAGUGGUUGAAGAGAGUCAUGGGUUGGGGGAAGGAAGGGACCGUUCAACAGUUUGUUCAACAGUUAUGGUCCAGACACCAACUUUGCCCCUGUACAACUUUGCAACAUACGUUCUGUCUUCAGGGGUCCCAAGGCUAGUGGGAGGCAGAGUGGAAGGAAAGGGGCUGCAGCUAAGCACCAUGAGACCUACUGUGGUGUGGAGAGCUAUGGGAGCCAAGGGUAGCAGUGAUAUAGACUAAAGGAGCCCCAGCUCUUCUGGGAAGAGGAGUCCUUGUGACCUAGAUAAAAGGAAUGUUCUAGAAAGUAGGACCAACACUUUCAAAGACUUUGAAGUAAAGAUCAUCCCGAAAGGCCUGUGGUGAGAUGCUGGGUUGUUGACAAUUCUCAUUUGCUGCGGAUGUGCCCACAAAGGGCCAUGCAGCCAUUUUGGAAACCAGCUGGAGACUGUCUAGGAAAGUCAGAGGUGUGCAAGCCCUCUGACAGAAGCUGUGCUUCUCUCUAGGGGCAGAAAACACAUUAAGGGACAUGUACACAGCAGGAGACGUUACAUGAAAUGACCAAAGUCCCUGAAACAGGCGGGAUGACACACUGUGGUCAUGGCAGAGCAGUGGGAACAUGGAGCACAUGACACGUCAACAUGACAAGUCUUCCUCACGGCAACACCAAGAAACUCGAGUGACACAAGCUGAACUGUAUCCAGUACCAGGCAAGUAAGCCUGAAAUAUUAUUAAUAAUGUAGCUCAGUGGUAUAGCAUUUGCCUAGCAUGUGCAAGGCCCUGCAUGCAAACUUGCUGCAAAUCAAUCAACCAGUCAAUCAAUCAAUCGAUCAAAUAUUGUUUGGGAAUGUACACAGGGGCAGCAGACUCUAAAAGGAAGUGAAGGAACUCUUGACUUCAGAAGCCAGAAUGUGACUUUUUCUGGAGAGAUAAAGAGGACAUAGGAGAGGAGGAUCCCAUGGGCAGACCCAGAAGAGGGUCUAGUCACUGACCUAAGUUUAUAGUUGUGAUGGUGUUUAGCAUUAUUGGAUGAACUGUGUACAAUUAAAUUUUUGAACUUA